rnacentral:lncRNA from 1 species
AUGUGGCUGACAAAUGAGUCCAAGCUCCAGUGGCCUGGGAGAUCUAUCAGCCUUCUUCUUCUCCUUGGCUGGAAGCUUAAAGUUAUCAGAGCUGCAGAAAGAGCUCCACAGGCACAAGAUCAGCUGCUGACCGGAGGGUUGCAUUACCUCAUGGUGAAUGCGUCUGAACAUGCAGACAGAGAGGUGGAAAAAGAGAAGGAGCGAAAGAGAGAGAAGAGUGGGUCCAUGACCUAAUUGAACGGCACUGAAACCGAGAUCGAGUCAGCAGCGGGAGAAGAGCAGCAGCAUCUUCAUUCAUUCCCGUUGACAGUGUUUUUGCAACUUAAACCUGUUUUAUUAAUUAUGUUUGACAUUUCCCUAAUUAGUUUCAUUUAAAUCACAUCAGCUCCUAGCAGAUGAUUGUGCCGUACAUCAAUUCACCACAGCUUUGUAAAUUAGUUAGAGAGGGAGAGAGCUAAGGCGAAGCAGAGCAACUGGUUUUUUGCAACUGGUUUUUUGCACAAAUUAACUAUGCCUUUACUGGAUCAUUUUCAUCUAUUGUAAUGUUAUUCGAUUAUGCAGAGCAGAACUGUACUUGUAGUCACUGACACACUUCAGUGGCACUUCAUCUCAAUGAAAGGGUGGCUCUGCACACAAAACACCUGUUUAACUUCCUCUUUCCUCAUGAAAAUAAAAAUAUAACUCUUUACUAGCAUAUCAGGGAUAUCACACUCUUUCUAAAGAAUACUAUAAAUUUGCUUUUUUUUGGACAGUCUAUGUAACUUAAAUCAGCAAAUAGUUUGCAUGAAACUAAACUGCACAACUAGUUGUUGAUGCAAUAACGUUAUUUUUUUUUUCAACAAAACUGUUUAUUAUUGUUGUUGUUGCUGCUGCUGUAGUUUGUUUACUUAUUUAAUAUGUAUACUAAGUAUUCCAAUAGUUAUUUUUAUAUUACAAGUUUUACAAUUACAUUUUACUUUAUUACUUUUUAAUUUAUUUGUAUAUUUUAUUUACUUAAAUUCUACUACAGUUGCAUACCUAAAUUAAAAUGAUAAAUAUUAUUUAUGUACUUUACAAUAGUUUUCAUAAAAUUGUUGUAUCCUGCAUUUCCCCAUUUUUCUCUCCAAAAUAUUCUCAAAAAAAAAAAAAAAAACUGCUUUCUGGCGCAGCCCAUAAGACCAGAGAGAGCACAUUGUUUAAAAGCAACAGCUUAAAGAGCUGAAGCUAAACAUGGUGGUUCAGUCAAUGGUGGCUCACUAACAAUUGUUGAAUGGUAAAUUGUCUCCAGUCAUACAUCUCAAAAAAUAACCACAAUAUGGAAGCUACUCCAGUGCUGCAUAUGGUUGUGCCUCCCAAAACAUUACAGUGUGUAUAUUGAUAUGUCCUCCAAAUUUCAUAUUUCUUCCUUAUAAAUGUUGGUAUUUUACACAGUUACAUAUUUAUUGUCAGCUAUGGACUUAAAGGUGCUAGGAGACAAUUCCUGAAAAUCUGAAAAUGAGCAAUGUGACAAUGCAAAAAUUAUGCAAACAAGCUUAGCCUUAUUACACAGCAAUGUUAACUUUUGAAAGUUUUACGUUUACUAAAUUUAGUAGAAACCCCUUUGAGAGAAUAGCCAUCCAGAUUGUCACCGGUGUGUUUGCCUAAGAUACCUUGGGUAUUUAUCUUGCUUGCCCAUAUUUGGUCUUUGAGGUGCAAUCCAGCAUCAACAGAUGGGAGCAAAAAUGGGCACAGUGCUACAAAUAACCCUCAUCUGAAAAAAAAAAUACACUUUUCUCUUCAGAGAGCGGCAUUUCACAGAGAAAGGCCCGUAAACAGUCGACUAAUUGACACUGCUGUUGCCAGUCAUGUGUACGGCCCUACAUUAUGGUGCAAUCUUUCAUUACUAGAGGGAAAAGCACAGCAUUAUUUUUAUCCUGUCUCAACAUCAAAGGCUGCUUCUCUCAGGGACCCGGGGAGACAACACAACUGUGCCCUUAAUGUUUAUCUUGUUUAAGCCCCUUAGUGAAGCCCUUAGUGGAGCAGGCAUCUCUAAAGCCCCCAUUUUCCUCUUCCAGUCCUCCUUCUCCCUCACCUCGCUACCGUCUUUCAGAAACAGAACUAACGUAACUGAGACCUGAGGACAGAAGCACUUGGAGCCAUUAAAGUGGGACCCUGUCUGAAACUACAGCUCUGUUUCAAGCCUACUCUGCCUACUGCCAGUAUAGCCAGCAUCUUAACCAUCAUUGAAGCUCAUGAGUGAGUGAUUUGGAAUCCUCUGUAGAGAUAGCAACUCCAAACAGAACACAAACUGAGCAGCUCUCAAUUUAUUUCAAUAUGUUUUAACACUAGCAUGUCGCUAUUCUAAAACUGUGAAUGUUGCUAUUCUAAAACUGUAAUAAGCAACAAUAAAAAAUAAAUAAAUAAAUAUGGUUUUCAUUAUGGUUUUAACCAUUUAACCAUUCACUAUCUUAUAUACAGUAUAACAGUUAAUUAAAACCGUAAAAACAUUAAUAACAUAACUAAAUGUUUCUGACCAACGCUUCUCUCAUCCUGUCUGCCAUUUUGGAAUAUUUCUUUUUUGACUGAGCUCAUCACAGUGCAUUCUUGGAUUGCCUUCUCUGAAGAAGCUAACAAGGUUUUAGAGCAGAAUAAAUGUAAGUGUACGAAAUACAGUGCCUAUUGAACAAGAACACAUUCUCACUUUUAUCAUCGGAGAGAUGAAAUGAGUGCCCUUCCUGCUCCCACUUCCACUUAUUAGACCCAGUCCAGGGAGAGAAACCGCAGCCAGACUGAUUAUGGGGCAUUGACUGCUUCCCCUCGAUUAGGGCAGUGCUCAGAUAUGGCUGAACGGAUAAUAUGAUUCGAUACAGGGUCAAUACAGUGCAUUGAUGAAUUGCUGAUGUGACCCAAAGACUUAAAGCCCAGCUAAUCACUGCUCAAAGGCCACACUAUUAAUGUGAAUCCAACAGUAUGCUGAAGAAAGUCAAAAGAGAAGUCACCUGUUGUACCACAGAGAGCCUCUGAACUUUCCCUUUCCUGACCAAUGAUGUGACCUAAUGAGUGAGCUGUCAAAAGAAUUAAAAAAAAGAAGCAAGCACACUACUUUCAUCUUAUAUAGUAAAUGGAUGUUGAUGGAACAUUAAUAACAGCCCUUUGUUUAUAGUUUUAUUCCAUGUCAUUUAUAACAGGUGUAAAUAAUGAGAGACUUGUCAGUGUAAUGUGCAAAUGUCAGCACUUUAUGAAUUGACUUUCCCCCACAGUCACCAGCUCUGUUCUAUCCUCUUGGAAUUAUAAGGUUCUAUCUGCAUUCCGAGUAGUUUUGAGAUAUUGAGCUUCAAAGUUGCAUUCCAUUUGACUGUGUAGAUAGAACCUUAUUGUUUUUUAAAUAAAUAAAUGUAUACAACAUAAAAAAGUCUAUCACAUAAUGUAAAUAAGUUGUCACAGAAUAACAAUAUGGGAAUAACCCAAUUUAGACAUAAAUGUCAGAUACAACCUUAUAAUUCCAAAGGGACGUGUUUUCACACAGUUGCAAGCUUAAUUAUAAUCAAGG